rnacentral:rRNA from 1 species
CGUAGGUCCCGAGCGUUGUCCGGAUUUAUUGGGCGUAAAGCGAGCGCAGGCGGUUUGAUAAGUCUGAAGUAAAAGGCUGUGGCUUAACCAUAGUAUGCUUUGGAAACUGUCAAAACUUGAGUGCAGAAGGGGAGAGUGGAAUUCCAUGUGUAGCGGUGAAAUGCGUAGAUAUAUGGAGGAACACCGGUGGCGAAAAGCGGCUCUCUGGUCUGUAACUGACGCUGAGGCUCGAAAGCGUGGGGGAGCAAACAGGAUU